rnacentral:misc_RNA from 1 species
UCUCCGUUGGUGAACCAGCGGAGGGAUCAUUACUGAGUGAGGGCUCCGGCCCGACCUCCAACCCCAUGUGAACCGAAACCUGUUGCUUCGGGGGCGACCCUGCCUUCGUGCGAGGCGCCCCCGGAGCCCAUCAAACCCUGCGUAACUAAGUCGUCGGAGUUUAAACAAAUUAAACAAAACUUUCAACAACGGAUCUCUUGGUUCGGGCAUCGAUGAAGAACGCAGC